GGGAAUAUAGCUCAGUGGUAGAGCACUUGCCUAGCAAGUAUGAAGCCCUGAGUUCAAUUCCUAGUAUCAUCA
rnacentral:tRNA from 1 species